UUAAUAUCUUACAUUGUGGGGAAGGCAACUCUCUCUUUGUUUUCCCUCACCAUGAGAGAAAAAGAAAGAUGGAAAAUUCUGUAAAAUUGUAGAGCAUAAAAUAGUUGGGAAAUCGGAUUUUGGAGAGGCAGACUUAGUCUUUCUUAGAUUCCCUGGUAGACACUGAUCCUGGAUUUAUUUGGGCAUUGGCUUGUCUAAGCUGACAAGAGCCAGUGUGCUGUAGAAGAAAGUAUUAGAUCUGAGUUCAGAUCUCUCAUGGGGUGACUUUGCACUUCCCACUGUCUCUCAACCUAACCUAUUUUACAGGGUGUUUUGAGGACAGAAAGCAAAGAGGCCUACAUAGGAUGUUGGCAGUAAAAAAAGAGGUGCUGUUCCAGGGAACUUCUGUGAAUGCAAGGUCCAGUAAAAUUAAUGACAUACAAGAGCACUCCUUGUGCAGAGGAGUUUUCUCCUAGCCCAAAGUAUUUGGGUUAUCUAGCUUGCAUUAGUUAACAAUACUGAUGCAGAAAUUUAAUAUUUUUUGCUCAGUGAAGCUUGGUCUUGCAAAUGCAGAGCCCUUCCACCAAUUCAAUCAGUACCCAUAUUUAACUGCAGUGAAAGAGCUAAUUGCCAACUGACUUUGGCAAGAGACCUUUCAUGAGACAAGUUAUAUUUUAUUCACACAAAGCUCAUGCUUGGAGCUCAUACUUAAGGGCAAAUGUGGAUCAGGUUAUAAAAGUGACCUUUUCUAUGUAUGCUUAAUAUAGAUGCAAGCAUAACAGGGAUUUACUCCAUGUCUUCCUGCAGAGAUGCUACUGUAGUCUGAGAUGCAGUUAUUCAUUUCUAAGGGACAAAUUGGUGGGCAUAAGUCUCUAGAGUGCUUGGUCCUGCUGUUCUUCCCACCCCCUAAGUAUAAUUCAUAGGACAAAUGCUUACUUGAAGUAAUCUGGAGUAAUCUUUGGGCUAGAUGGGUAUUACACAGAUUGGUGAAGUUUUGUCAUGUAGUGACUUCCAUUUGCGAAUUAUGAAGUGUCUGGGAACCUUGGACUAUAAUAUACUGGAAAUCUGCUUUGAUUCAGGGCUCUGUACCACAUAACUACUCUGGAUAUUUAUAUACUGCUCUUCAACCAAAGUUCUCAAAGUGGCUUACAUAGAAAAACUGGUCUUGGACCAUAAUAAAGAUGAUUGAUUGAUAGAAAAAUAAAUACAUAAGACAAGAUGGUUCCCUGUCCCCAAAGGGCUCACAAUCUAAAAAGAAAUAAGGCAAAUACCAGCAACAGCCACUGGCUUGGGGGAUGCUGUGCUUGGGUUGGAUAGGACCAAUUGCUCUGCCCCUUCUAAAUAUAAGAGAAUCUCUACUUUAAAAGGUGUCUUUUUGCUCAGUUAGCAGGAAUACCUUGUAUUUCCCAUUGGUCGGCAUGCUGCUCUGUAAAACAUUGUUACUGGGGACCUGUCAGGGCUGCUGUACAUGGGAAAACCAGCCCUGGUGUGGUGGUGCAACAGGGCAGUUGCAAAACUCUUUAAACUGUUGUGCACGGGCACUUUGUUGCUGCUUCCAUUGUUUCUAAUGGAAAUAGUGCUGCAGAAGUGCCCAUGUACUCUUUUAAGGAGUUUUGCAAGUGCCCUAUUGCACAGCCCUGCUGGGGUCUGGCUUUCCCAUGUACAAUGAUCCUGGUGGGUCUCUGAAACCAUUGUUUCACUUCAUAAUAUGACAGCCAGGGAUAGCCAUGCAGGAUAUCAAUAACAGAAAUAAAUGAGUUUUCUCUGCUGAAUAGUGAAUGGACCAAUCCCACAGGGCUAGAAGCAAUUUAAGCCAUGAUCUUUAGCAUGGAUGGCAUAAUGUGUGAUUGCAUUAUGAUGGGGAACCACAAAUUGGGCACCCUGAGGAAUAAAUACCAGAUGACCCUUCUAGUUGCUAACACAGGCAAAAGAGAUGUGUGAAGGAAUGGGGCUAUAACCUUCAUCUCCUCCUUAAAAUGACAUUCGGUAAAAAUUAGUUGCUGACCAGAGCUAUGGAGAACUAAGAUUUUUUUUCUGAACUGUGAUAACCAGUGCCAUGAAUGUAGCAUCUAUAAAGCUGUGAAACAGGCUUGCAGAACGGUGACCUGCCUAAUCUAACAUGACUCACAUGGGGCUCGCUAAAUCUUUUUGUUGGUGGUGCAUGCCUGAGAUGACAAAAAGAUGGGCUUGUUAAGUCCCUGCACUAUGCAUGGCUGAUGGCUUUGACUAUACAUGGCUUUUGACUUUGAGAGUUACAAGUUGUGCAGGUCUGCCCUAAGAUGUCUAGAUUAUGAUCCCAUUUUGUUAAUAUCCAUUGAUCACUGGACAAGGAAGUUGAUGAAAUCAUGGGAGUGUAUAGUGGUUUUUCAAGGUAAAGCAAUCCAACUUCAUUUCACAUUUUUCUAAGCAUUUAGUCACUAGUUAGCAAGUUGGGGUUUAGUGUGACUUAUGAUGAAUGACAAAUUAACAUUGUCUACUUCAUUAAACUAUCUUGUCAAUUAAACUUCUAAAAUUGCUAUCACAUUAAUGCAUUUGGAAUACUUAUUGCAUAUUAAUUCAAUUUUUCAUGCUUAUUAGUCUGGCUAUAUAUUAUGUGCCAGCAUUUUUCUGCCUUAAGUAAUCCAAGCUAAAUUUUUCUUUUUGCAUAGGAUUUGUGUCUUGUUAAAAACUUACAUUUAAACUUGAAGUGCAUAAAACUCCAAUAUUUAAUUUAAGAGUAAUCUAAAGCACGGAUGGGCAUGAAAAGAGCUGCCAAGGUCUCUGCUGCAGAAAGGCUCUCCCCUGAAUGAGUAGAGGAUUUUGGGUAGAGGAUUUGGUGGGCCAAGUGCACCACACAUAUUGUACAAUGCCCAUCCUGAUCUAAAACUUAAACAGGAAAUUCAUUUGUGGUCUGAUGCUGACUGGUGCGGCAAGAGGAUAUAUUACUGCCCUGUGCAGCGAUUUUGGACACGGUACUGGUGGGGGAGGGGUAAGAGCACCCUCCCUGCUCCUUAAAGAUAACCCCCCCGCUGCUGAACCGGCUCGACCACCAGACUGGUUCGGAGGUCCAGAAAAGGACCUCCGAACCAGUUCGUGCAUGUCCUUAUUCAUGCUAAGAUAAACCUUGGUUUAGGUGAUUGUCUGAACCAGUUCAUUGAAAAAAAAAAUCCUUGGCACAUCUGCUGUAAAACUCCUGUGUGUUGUGGAGGAUCCUGGGGAAUGUUCUAAGGUACAGACUUGGCUCAUACCAAAUUGCUGACCAGGGGAUGGGGCUGUGGGACAGUGGUAAAGUAUCUGCUUUGAAUGCAGAAGUUCCCAUGUUCAGUCUCUGCUAUCUCCAUGUAGGGCUGGGAGAGCCUUCUGAGGACCGUCAUUGAUCCAUUUAAACAAAGGGUGUUUCUUAGAAUAUACCAAACACCCUCUCCUGUGACUGCACCUUGCAGUCAUGCAGAUAGCUACAUGAGCCUAGAAAGUAAGAAACGGGGUCAGGGAACCAUGCCUUUAAGGUUAAGAAAAUUAUCAUGUUGAACUCCUGUCUCACAAUAUUGUGGUUGCUUAUUUAAAACUUUUAUUUGAUUUUAAUUAUGGGAUACGGAAGAUCAUUUGUAGCUGCUGAUGCUAUUUAUUACUUGUGUGAUUUUUAAUCUGAAUUAUCUUGUAGUAUAGAAAUAGUUGAAUAAAAACAGGAAAAUAUGUACAGUACUAGUUUUAUUACUUAGCUAAGCAAUGUUUUAAUAUUUUUAUCUUCUUCUCUUUCACAGUUUAUAAAUUGGGUUUUAUUAUGUAGCAAAAUAUACAAUAGAAUGAUCUCACCAGAACUUGUUUUAUGCAUCUUGUAAUCUAAUGUUACAUGUAUUAAGUGUAGUUUUUCUCUCUUGAAAACUUCUGAAACAGAAAAAUUGACAAGUCUUUGAAGAGGAUGAAACAUGUGCUGACUCGUUCUCCAGCAGCAAAUUCACAACGGGAAGCAUUUCAGCAAAAGUGAGCACUUUCCUGCAACUGCAUGAGGGGAAAUACUUCCUUGAGCAAUGGUACUAAAGGAGAUUUGCUUAAUUUCUGUUUUCCUGAGGACCAGGAUGAACUCGUGUGUAGUGGAGACACAGAAAAUCUAAUCCCUGAUUUAUUUAGCUGUCUUCAGCAAAUCUGUGUAACAUGAAUUUGUAGACACAGACUGAAAAUUUGCAGCAUUGUGGUAACUAUAUGCUAAAAGUUAAUCACCCUUCCAUUAAUACUUAGAAUCGUUCUGUCAGCAAAGAAAUGUGGCACAAAUUUGCAAUAAAAAACCUGAAUACAAGACUGUUUUUAAAAAGGAAAUAAAUGGAAACAAUGGAAAUU